rnacentral:rRNA from 1 species
AGACCCGAAACCCGGUGAUCUAGCCAUGGGCAGGUUGAAGGUUGGGUAACACUAACUGGAGGACCGAACCGACUAAUGUUGAAAAAUUAGCGGAUGACCUGUGGCUGGGGGUGAAAGGCCAAUCAAACCGGGAGAUAGCUGGUUCUCCCCGAAAGCUAUUUAGGUAGCGCCUCGUGAAUUCAUCUCCGGGGGUAGAGCACUGUUUCGGCUAGGGGGCCAUCCCGGCUUACCAACCCGAUGCAAACUGCGAAUACCGGAGAAUGUUAUCACGGGAGACACACGGCGGGUGCUAACGUCCGUCGUGAAGAGGGAAACAACCCAGACCGCCAGCUAAGGUCCCAAAGUCAUGGUUAAGUGGGAAACGAUGUGGGAAGGCCCAGACAGCCAGGAUGUUGGCUUAGAAGCAGCCAUCAUUUAAAGAAAGCGUAAUAGCUCACUGGUCGAGUCGGCCUGCGCGGAAGAUGUAACGGGGCUAAACCAUGCACCGAAGCUGCGGCAGCGACGCUUAUGCGUUGUUGGGUAGGGGAGCGUUCUGUAAGCCUGCGAAGGUGGCCUGUGAGGGUUGCUGGAGGUAUCAGAAGUGCGAAUGCUGACAUAAGUAACGAUAAAGCGGGUGAAAAGCCCGCUCGCCGGAAGACCAAGGGUUCCUGUCCAACGUUAAUCGGGGCAGGGUGAGUCGACCCCUAAGGCGAGGCCGAAAGGCGUAGUCGAUGGGAAACGGGUUAAUAUUCCCGUACUUGGUGUUACUGCGAAGGGGGGACGGAGAAGGCUAUGUUGGCCGGGCGACGGUUGUCCCGGUUUAAGCGUGUAGGUGUGUGUUCCAGGUAAAUCCGGUUCACUUUAACACUGAGGCGUGAUGACGAGGCACUACGGUGCUGAAGCAACAAAUGCCCUGCUUCCAGGAAAAGCCUCUAAGCAUCAGGUAACAUCAAAUCGUACCCCAAACCGACACAGGUGGUCAGGUAGAGAAUACCAAGGCGCUUGAGAGAACUCGGGUGAAGGAACUAGGCAAAAUGGUGCCGUAACUUCGGGAGAAGGCACGCUGACAUGUAGGUGAAGUGAUUUACUCAUGGAGCUGAAGUCAGUCGAAGAUACCAGCUGGCUGCAACUGUUUAUUAAAAACACAGCACUGUGCAAACACGAAAGUGGACGUAUACGGUGUGACGCCUGCCCGGUGCCGGAAGGUUAAUUGAUGGGGUCAGCGCAAGCGAAGCUCCUGAUCGAAGCCCCGGUAAACGGCGGCCGUAACUAUAACGGUCCUAAGGUAGCGAAAUUCCUUGUCGGGUAAGUUCCGACCUGCACGAAUGGCGUAAUGAUGGCCAGGCUGUCUCCACCCGAGACUCAGUGAAAUUGAACUCGCUGUGAAGAUGCAGUGUACCCGCGGCAAGACGGAAAGACCCCGUGAACCUUUACUAUAGCUUGACACUGAACAUUGAGCCUUGAUGUGUAGGAUAGGUGGGAGGCUUUGAAGUGUGGACGCCAGUCUGCAUGGAGCCGACCUUGAAAUACCACCCUUUAAUGUUUGAUGUUCUAACGUGGACCCGUGAUCCGGGUUGCGGACAGUGUCUGGUGGGUAGUUUGACUGGGGCGGUCUCCUCCUAAAGAGUAACGGAGGAGCACGAAGGUUGGCUAAUCCUGGUCGGACAUCAGGAGGUUAGUGCAAUGGCAUAAGCCAGCUUGACUGCGAGCGUGACGGCGCGAGCAGGUGCGAAAGCAGGUCAUAGUGAUCCGGUGGUUCUGAAUGGAAGGGCCAUCGCUCAACGGAUAAAAGGUACUCCGGGGAUAACAGGCUGAUACCGCCCAAGAGUUCAUAUCGACGGCGGUGUUUGGCACCUCGAUGUCGGCUCAUCACAUCCUGGGGCUGAAGUAGGUCCCAAGGGUAUGGCUGUUCGCCAUUUAAAGUGGUACGCGAGCUGGGUUUAGAACGUCGUGAGACAGUUCGGUCCCUAUCUGCCGUGGGCGCUGGAGAACUGAGGGGGGCUGCUCCUAGUACGAGAGGACCGGAGUGGACGCAUCACUGGUGUUCGGGUUGUCAUGCCAAUGGCACUGCCCGGUAGCUAAAUGCGGAAGAGAUAAGUGCUGAAAGCAUCUAAGCACGAAACUUGCCCCGAGAUGAGUUCUCCCUGAGACUUAGAGUCUCCUGAAGGAACGUUGAAGACGACGACGUUGAUAGGCCGGGUGUGUAAGCGCAGCGAUGCGUUGAGCUAACCGGUACUAAUGAACCGUGAGGCUUAACCUUACAACGCCGAAG